UACGAAGGUCCCAAGCGUUGUUCGGAAUCACUGGGCGUAAAGGGAGCGUAGGCGGCGUGGUAAGUCAGAUGUGAAAUCCCGGGGCUCAACCCCGGAACUGCAUCCGAUACUGCCAUGCUAGAGGAUUGGAGAGGUAGCUGGAAUUCUUGGUGUAGCAGUGAAAUGCGUAGAGAUCGGGAGGAACAUCAGUUGCGAAGGCGGCUCUCUGGACCAGCACUGACACUGAGGCACGAAAGCGUGGGGAGCAAACAGG
rnacentral:rRNA from 1 species